AGUUGUUAGUGGCAGACGGGUGAGUAAUGCGUAGGAAUCUACCUAGUAGUAUGGAAUAGCCAUUAGAAAUGAUGGGUAAUACUGUAUAAUCCCUGCGGGGGAAAGAUUUAUCGCUAUUAGAUGAGCCUACGUUAGAUUAGCUAGUUGGUAAGGUAAUGGCUUACCAAGGCUAUGAUCUAUAGCUGGUCUGAGAGGACGAUCAGCCACACUGGAACUGAGAUACGGUCCAGACUCCUACGGGAGGCAGCAGUGGGGAAUAUUGGACAAUGGGCGAAAGCCUGAUCCAGCUAUGCCGCGUGAGUGAAGAAGGCCUUCGGGUUGUAAAGCUCUUUCAAUAGGGAAGAUAAUGACGGUACCUAUAGAAGAAGUCCCGGCAAACUCCGUGCCAGCAGCCGCGGUAAUACGGAGGGGGCAAGCGUUGUUCGGAAUUAUUGGGCGUAAAGGGCACGUAGGUGGACUAGUAAGUUAAAAGUGAAAUACCAAAGCUCAACUUUGGAGCUGCUUUUAAUACUGCUAGACUAG
rnacentral:rRNA from 1 species